UCAGUGUGAUACAAGACCCUCCGCUUCGCGUCGGGUCCUGAUCACACUGUCGGGGCUUAUUUCCCAAUAACUACCGGCUGCCUCUACAUUAUCCCUUACUUAACGAAUGGGUAGCAGUGUUUUACCACACACACACACACAUCGGUACAUUGAUAAAUAAAAAAUAAAAAUCUAUAUUGCGGUAGAAUAGGCUUGGCAAUCAGAUGAAAGGGGGGCCCUUGGUGUUGCUGUAGCCCCAGGGCCCAAAGUCCUCUUAAUCCGGGCCAUCUAUAGUCAUUUGUACAUGUAUGAGAAUCUAAGCAUGUAUUUUAUUCAUACUGUAAAGCUUCACAUUGUCCAUAUAAAAGAAAAUUACAGUUUACUGGAAGAGGCUGUUGGUGAUCCUUUGAGAGUGGCUGUUGAGUGGAUUUUUUUAUGAGGAGUCAAGAAGUGACAAUGAAAAAUAUCAUUCCUUCAUAAAUUCUCUGAAUAAUAUUACACUUCCUGGGACCAAUGUAACGCUUGAAGGUUUGUCAUUAGAAAUGCUCAUCCCAUCCUUUGAUACCUUGGGUGAAUACUUUCGUUACCAGGGGUCCCUUACCACUCCAGGCUGUUCUGAAGCUGUAGUCUGGACAAUAUUUGAGCAAACCAUACCACUCAGCAAACAGCAGGUAGUUUGUGUGCUUUGACACAUCCCUGAGCAUGCAAGAAUAUCAAAUCUGUUGUUUGAUCUCUGUCUUACAGAGUUUAGGGAUUUGGGCAGCAGUACUGUAACUGUAUAGUUACGCAGAUCUGGCAACCCUUUUGUGAUUAGUUGAUUGAAAUGUUGUCCCAGGGUCAACAUAAAGUUGCCCAUUUUCACAUCUGCAGUUUCACAAUCAGACUGCUAUGAUAAACACACAUCGACCCGUUCAGCCACGGUACGGGCGUGAGGUGUAUCACUCUGGGAGUUAUGUUUUCUGUGUAAGCACUGCCUUAUUGGUCAGCCCUGUUUUCUCUUCUUGUGAUUUGAUUUCUGAGAGUUUUGUAUUAAUCAUUUGCGUUUACAAGCACUUAGGCAGGUUAUGUAUUAUUUACUAAUGUUUGCCAAGUUAAAUAUAAAGUCAAAUGUUACUUUAUUGCAAUAUAUCUAGCAAUAUUCUUGGUUUUGCAAUGUACUUGAGACAGACUUUAUUGAUGGUUAUUUAACAGCCCCGGCAUUGUAUAUACUCGAGACAACUUGUGCAAAAGAGCAGUGUGCAAAAGAGUAGUGUGUAACAUUGUGUAACAUUAUGGUAUCUUGA